rnacentral:rRNA from 1 species
AGUGAACGCUGGCGGUAGGCCUAACACAUGCAAGUCGAACGGCAGCACAGUAAGAGCUUGCUCUUACGGGUGGCGAGUGGCGGACGGGUGAGGAAUACAUCGGAAUCUACUUUUUCGUGGGGGAUAACGUAGGGAAACUUACGCUAAUACCGCAUACGACCUACGGGUGAAAGCAGGGGAUCUUCGGACCUUGCGUGAUUGAAUGAGCCGAUGUCGGAUUAGCUAGUUGGCGGGGUAAAGGCCCACCAAGGCGACGAUCCGUAGCUGGUCUGAGAGGAUGAUCAGCCACACUGGAACUGAGACACGGUCCAGACGCCUACGGGAGGCAGCAGUGGGGAAUAUUGGACAAUGGGCGCAAGCCUGAUCCAGCCAUACCGCGUGGGUGAAGAAGGCCUUCGGGUUGUAAAGCCCUUUUGUUGGGAAAGAAAAGCAGCAGGUUAAUACCCCGCUGUUCUGACGGUACCCAAAGAAUAAGCACCGGCUAACUUCGUG